rnacentral:rRNA from 1 species
UCCCCCCCCCACCCCCUACUUGUGGUGUACCUCCGCCCAUUUCUUUAAUUUUCCUCCCCCGCGAGCAUACUAUCCCCAGAGCUCCGAACUCUAAGAUCCUCUCCCUGUCAACUGUUGCCAGUCCACAUGUCGGCAUCUUUUACUGCUGGAACUACUGCGGCAUCUAAUCACUUUCGAUCCUCCAGCCUUCGUCCUUGAUCAUCAAACACCCCCAAGAACAUCGCUUUCGCCUCGCUCAGCCCACCAGGGGUCUAGGCAUUUCAUCUCUCGCCCUGGUAUACUAUGUUCCCCAUUGGCUCCUCCAUCAUAUCUAUCUGGCACAAGCGCCCCAAUUUACACUUCUAAGACUACGGACUUUUUAACCGCCGCAUCCCUCAUACACCCUCUUGGAGUCGGUAUUACCGCGGCUGCUGGCACCAAACUUGCCCUCCAAUUCUCCCGGU